rnacentral:rRNA from 1 species
UACGUAGGUCCCGAGCGUUGUCCGGAUUUAUUGGGUUUAAAGGGUGCGUAGGCGGGUUAUCAAGUCAGCGGUAAAAUCGUGGAGCUCAACUCCAUCCAGCCGUUGAAACUGAUGAUCUUGAGUGGGCGAGAAGUAUGCGGAAUGCGUGGUGUAGCGGUGAAAUGCAUAGAUAUCACGCAGAACUCCGAUUGCGAAGGCAGCAUACCGGCGCCCGACUGACGCUGAAGCACGAAAGCGUGGGUAUCGAACAGG